rnacentral:tRNA from 3 species
GGGCCCGUAGCUCAGCUGGGAGAGCGCCUGCUUUGCAAGCAGGAGGUCGCCGGUUCGACCCCGGUCGGGUCCA